GACGUAGGGGGCGAGCGUUGUCCGGAUUUAUUGGGCGUAAAGCGUGCGUAGGCGGCUGCGCAAGUCGGUUGUGAAACCCCGGGGCUCAACCCCGGAACUGCAUCCGAUACUGCGUGGCUAGAGGUAGGUAGGGGAGAUCGGAAUUCCUGGUGUAGCGGUGAAAUGCGCAGAUAUCAGGAGGAACACCGGUGGCGAAGGCGGAUCUCUGGGCCUUAACUGACGCUCAGGCGCGAAAGCUAGGGGAGCGAACAGG
rnacentral:rRNA from 1 species